rnacentral:sRNA from 1 species
UCCGUAGGUGAACCUGCGGAAGGAUCAUUAGUGAAUUGAAUAUGUUAGCGGACCUCUUCGGAGUCCCUAGCAUCAAAUCAUAUCCAUAACACCUGUGAACUGUAAGGCUGUCUUGAAAACGAAAGUGAUUAGAGCGCCUGCCCAUUUUAUACAAACAUUAAAGUAACAAACGUAGUCUUAUUAUAAUCUAAUAAAACUUUCAACAACGGAUCUCUUGGCUCUCGCAUCGAUGAAGAACGCAGCGAAAUGCGGUAAGUAAUGUGAAUUGCAGAAUUCAGUGAAUCAUCGAAUCUUUGAACGCACCUUGCGCUCUUUGGUAUUCCGAAGAGCAUGCCUGUUUGAGUGUCAUGAAAAUAUCAACCUUGACUUGGGUUUAGUGCUCUUGUCUUGGCUUGGAUUUGGCUGUUUGCCGCUCGAAAGAGUCGGCUCAGCUUAAAAGUAUUAGCUGGAUCUGUCUUUGAGACUUGGUUUGACUUGGCGUAAUAAGUUAUUUCGCUGAGGACAAUCUUCGGAUUGGCCGAGUUUCUGGGACGUUUGUCCGCUUUCUAAUACAAGUUCUAGCUUGCUAGACAUGACUUUUUUUAUUAUCUGGCCUCAAAUCAGGUAGGACUACCCGCUGAACUUAAGCAUAUCAAUAAGCGGAGGAAAAGAAACUAACAAGGAUUCCCCUAGUAACGGCGAGUGAAGCGGGAAGAGCUCAAAUUUGAAAUCUGGUGGCCUCAGGCUAUCCGAGUUGUAAUCUAUAGAAACAUUUUCCGCGUUGGCCCAUGUACAAGUCUCUUGGAAUAGAGCGUCAUAGAGGGUGAGAAUCCCGUCCUUGACAUGGACUACCAGUGCUUUGUGAUAUGUUUUCAACGAGUCGAGUUGUUUGGGAAUGCAGCUCAAAAUGGGUGGUAAAUUCCAUCUAAAGCUAAAUAUUGGCGAGAGACCGAUAGCGAACAAGUACCGUGAGGGAAAGAUGAAAAGCACUUUGGAAAGAGAGUUAAACAGUAUGUGAAAUUGUUGAAAGGGAAACGCUUGAAGU